CCCUGGAAGUCGGGGCCUAGCCGAGAGUUUCCUCGGACGCGACCACUGGCCCCGCGUGCAGGGAGGAGCCGGGCGGGCUAUUCAGCGCGGGGGCGCCACCACCCCAACCUCGUUAACUCUAAAGUGCACCUGGAAGAAUAAACAAGUAAUAAUGAAAGAGAAGGAAGGAAGGAAGAACGAAAGGAGGAAAGAAAGAAAAAGAAGGAAGAAAGGGCUUCUAACAAGAAGAGUAAUAAGGACUGUAGUGUCCAUCUUGCCAGCAGACUCUACUGAACCUCACCUUUACUGGAUUUUAGGAAGUAAACUACCAUUCAGAGAGGUCCAUAUGCCAAGGAACCGAGGAUGCCUCUGGCUGGUAGCCCACAAGCACAAGGAACAAACCCAGCAACAAUGACAUUAGCUUAGAAGUGUAUCCUUUCCCAGUUGAGCCUUAGAUGAGACUCCAGUCCUGGCCGAUAACUUGAUUGCAGCCUUGUGAGACCCUGAAGCAGAGGACCAAGAUGAGCCAAGCCCAGGACUCAGCUCACAGACACUUUACCGUGUCCACCUGUGAGUCGCUGCAAGAAAGAAGAAAUUAACACAUACCCUCACCAAGGCUGGUCAUUCCCGGAGAUGUUUUGCAAGAUGAAUGGCCGUUUUACUUUUUUCCCCCACUGCCUCUCCUUCUCUAUUCUACUUUUUUACUUUAC